GGGCCGCCGCCAGGGCUCCUCUGGGGCCCUCGCAGCCCGCGGGAAUCGCGCCCAUCCCGGCCGGACGGCUCCCGGAGAGCCCGUCGGGCAGCGCCGGGGCCGCGGCUCCUCGCGGGUUUGGCCCCUCAGCUCUCGCAGCUCCCAGUAGGACGAAAAACCCACGUUCCUCUGGCAGAGCGUCUGUCGGAAGAUGCCUUUGCCUCUUCCUAGUGCAACAAUGAGCUAUGCUGACCCCUCGGACGUGUACGAGCCCAAAGUAGUAGCAGUGUUAACUUUUUACCAUUAUCAGCGAUAGCGCCGUGAUGCGAGGGGACAUCGUGCAAUGCAGCACCUCAUUCCGUAGUGUGGGUAAGCUUUUAGGAGACAGCGGGGCCAAGUGGCAGUGCCCACAGCGAUCUGGUAGAGGUGGGCAUCACAGCUGAGGCUGCAGCUCCAGCUGGCUCCGUGCCCUGUCUGUCAGAGACCUCCAGCAGUGACCCAGUGGCACGGGGAGGGAUGUGGGAGAUUUAUGGCUGAAAUUCAAAAGCAGUCGAUGGUGGAACGCUGCCAGGAUUUGAGCUGAUGCCUUAAGUCAGUGUAUGAAAUUCAGCUCCAUGCAGAUGUGGAGAAGAUUAACAGAUGGAUAAGCUCUUUCUCAUUUUUAUGGCCCAUAAUUAUCUGUGGGGUGAUUUGUCAGCUUAAUUACAGUAGUGGCAGAGAUAAUGCCCAGGAAAGAGCGUGAAAGACAUCAUGUACAGAUAUCUCCACACGUAUGUUUUCAUUCUGCAAAAACUUGUGGCUUGACAGAGUUUUAUCCUGGAGUUGUUGCCUUCAUCUUUUGUAAGCUCCCAAUGCCUUCUUUCCUCCUGCCUGUAUUUGUCCAGUCAUUUUUCAAAAGUUGUGUAGAUUAUUAGCACCCGGAUUGCUAAACUGACAUUCAAAGUCAAGACUCAUUACAUUCUAAGUUACUGAGUACUAAUGCCAAAUCCUCAGGUUUCUCUUUAAAGGCUGCCCAGUUUCUUCCAGUUUGUUAUUAGCUGUCAGCUGCUCUAAGAGAUGACCCUCAGUAGCAGGAGAUGAAGUUGACCAUGAGUGGUCAUGCCUGCCUCUACCUGCUGAGCAUCUGCCUGCGCUCGUGAGCCCUUGGAGCUGUCCCUCACUAUGAAUUCUGUGCAGCAGGAACACAAAGAGUUGUAAGAGUUGUCUGCUGCUUUCCUCUGGCUUGGGUUCUUCCCAAACCGCUGAGUGGAUCUUUCCUCUCACUGAGGACAAUCUUUGCAGGAGACAAGUGAGCAUGUGUCUCCAUUGCAACUAAACCUGUAGCCCUAAAACAGUAGCCCUGUGCUCUGCUGAUAACUUGAAAGUCUAUUUGCUUUCACCACUGUGGAAAGAACAGUUCCUUUUAUGGACUAGAAAUAACUCAUCCUCUCUGCCCUCCAUGCUGCUCUACAGCUCUGAGGUGUGACUCCUAAAGCUGCCACAGCAUGGGUAUUGGUGCUGUACUGUCAGUUUCUGGUGUGAGUAUUAAGUGCGUGCAUUCUUUACAUGAUUUUCAUAUUUUCAUGUGCUGGAUGUAAAUCUAUCUAAUUUUUAUGUAAUGCUUCACAUACUUUGCAUAAAGUCAUAAUUUUAUCAAUGCCGUUCAAUCUAAAAUUCAUCCAUAUUUAAGCAAGUGGCUUUCUGUGGUGACUUUAACAGAAAUUAAAAAAAAUAAUCUAAAUUACUUUUUCUUUCCACUCUUUCAGCUUCACCUUCUUAUAUUUUUGUGCUUGCCUGUAAACAUCAGUAGGAGUUACCUCAGUCCCCUUUACCAAGAAGUAGAGGAUGUUAUAGAGAGCGGGAAAGAAACAUUUCAUCAUUUACUGUAAUGUUGAGGGCUGUUUGCUGUGCUUGCAAGAUAAAAAACCCCAACGAUUGUAUGUGUACGUGAGUGACAUUAAUCUAAUGGCAACAACAUGCUAUGGAAAUCAUAGGAAGAAAAUAGAAGAUAAUGUUACAGCUGUUCUCCUGUAAGACAGAAGGACUGAACCUCAGGAUUAUUGAAGAGAUUGUGCAGCCUGAAUUGUUGCCAAUUUUGGGUGUCACCAGUGCUUCCUCUUGAAAUUCUGGGUGCUGUGGUGUCUGGCAUAGAAUGAAAUUAAGAAGAAAAAAGUGUUUCUUGCUUUUAAGCUAUGCAAGUUCCUUUACUUUUUUUCGCUGAGAAUUUCUUUAACCUUGCAGAAUGAUUAUAGCUUUCAAAAGACAGUGUAUUUUAUGCAUUGACUUCAUGGCUUGGGGAAUAGUCUGUAAAUAUGUUGAAAAUAAAAUGGAGGAGAAAACAUA